CCAGACUCCUACGGGAGGCAGCAGUGGGGAAUAUUGCACAAUGGGGGAAACCCUGAUGCAGCGACGCCGCGUGAGUGAGGAAGUAUUUCGGUAUGUAAAGCUCUAUCAGCAGGGAAGAAAAUGACGGUACCUGACUAAGAAGCCCCGGCUGACUACGUGCCAGCAGCCGCGGUAAUACGUAGGGGGCGAGCGUUAUCCGGAUUCACUGGGUGUAAAGGGAGCGUAGACGGCCAUGCAAGCCAGGGGUGAAAGCCCGGGGCCCAACCCCGGGACUGCCCUUGGAACUGCAUGGCUGGAGUGCGGGAGGGGCAGGCGGAAUUCCUAGUGUAGCGGUGAAAUGCGUAGAUAUUAGGAGGAACACCAGUGGCGAAGGCGGCCUACUGGACGGUGACUGACGCUGAGGCUCGAAAGCGUGGGGAGCAAACAGGAUUAGAUACCCCAGUAA
rnacentral:rRNA from 1 species